rnacentral:lncRNA from 1 species
GAAAUGAUAGAGUUGGGAGGGAAAUAAGAGAGGGAGAGAGGGUCAUUUGCCCUCUAUACCUGUCACGUCCCGUUAUCGCCAAUUUGGUCGAUCCGGGCCCGCGCACAGACGCCGAACGAACAGCACCUCCUCUGUUCGCCCAAGGCUCAACAACAACGAGUACAUGUAUAAAGAAAUAAAUAAUUCCCAGGAUCACAUUUCAAUAUACAUGGCUUGCACGAAGGCAAGCAACAAACACAAGUGAUAGUAAACUAACUGUACAAUGAAAUUCACUGUAACUUAAAAUUUUACACAACUGAACUUGUAACUGAAACAUUUAGUUAUAUACAUGCUUUUUAUACAUUCAUUUACAUGUCUCUGUACAUCAAAAUGGAUGAUACAUGAACUCAAAAUGGUAAUUGCUAAACUCUGGUGUCAGCUAGCUAAGCUGCAGGGCCCUUGCCACGAUCCUCGGCCUCA